ACUGGGACCUGCUAGUAGUGCAAUCAGUGUACAGACCUCAGUUAUUAGUUCAAUCAAUUGGGUACUAGUCUCAUCUAUUACACAACUCAAUAACAUUCAAUAUCGCUUUGAUUGUAUCACAACUACUACUAAUAUGAUAAAUCCUUUAACUGAUGUUUACUGGUUAGUAAAUGGAGUGAUGAAGAGCAACUCAAUAUAUACAUCAAUUGAUGUCCUGACAUACAACAACACACUACUGGUAUAUCCUGAUCUACUGGAAGUGUUAGUUAAUAUUACCUGUAUAGCAAUGACUGGAGGAUUUAACUACAGUCAAUCUGUGAUAUUACAUGCUCCUAGUGGUCCUCCAAAUAAUG